rnacentral:lncRNA from 1 species
CAUGGCAGAGGCCCUGCAUAAACCAUUUGGUUUUGCAAUUAAAAACAGGUUUGGCUUCCCUCUGCAUCAGUAAGACAACGUCAAAGCAACAUUCAUGCCGAAAAUUUUCCCUUGUGAAUUCAAAUGAACUACCCAUCUUCCAUUUAGGUGUCUCUUCUCACUUCAGAAGGUAAAUACAUUUUCCCACUCACCCAUCGGAAGAAACCACAGUGCUACAAGAUGGUACCUGGAGCAGAACUGCGGUUGAGAACUAGCAGAUACCUGAGCUAGCGAUGAUCAGCUCCCAGCACACAACGGUGAAAGUUGCUUGACAAGGAUCUGUUGGCAGAGAUGCAGAGUUGGAAGCCUGGAGAGGCAAAGUGAAGGGAGAAGUUUACGGUCAUGCAGCUGUAAUUAGGUAAGGUACAUCUGAACAGACAGGCGAGUCAGUCACUGAACCUGUGUACAGUUCUCCCGAGUAUUCUUCUGCAGCCUGGUUUUUCGCCUCUCCCCUCCCC